rnacentral:rRNA from 1 species
GCCUACGGGGGGCAGCAGUGAGGAAUAUUGGACAAUGGGCGGAAGCCUGAACCAGCCAAGUCGCGUGAGGGAAUAAGGCCCUACGGGUCGUAAACCUCUUUUGCCGGGGAGCAAGGGCGGGGACGUGUCCCGGCCCGGAGCGUCCCCGGAGAAAAAGCAUCGGCUAACUCCGUGCCAGCAGCCGCGGUCAUACGGAGGAUGCGGGCGUUAUCCGGAUUUAUUGGGUUUAAAGGGUGCGUAGGCGGGCUUUUAUGUCAGCGGUAAAAAUUCGGGUCUCAACCCCGUCCGGCCGUU